UAGAUGGUGACUGGUGCACCUGCUCC
rnacentral:piRNA from 1 species